AACGAACGCUGGCGGCGCGCCUAAUACAUGCAAGUCGAGCGAGAAGGUGUAGCAAUACACUUGUAAAGCGGCGAACGGGUGAGGAAUACAUGGGUAAUCUACCAUCGAGUGGGGAAUAACCAACCGAAAGGUUGGCUAAUACCGCGUACGCCUCCGGGUCUUCGGGUUCGGAGGGAAAGCUGCACUGUGAGUGUAGCGCUCUUUGAUGAGCUCAUGUCCUAUCAGCUUGUUGGUAGGGUAACGGCCUACCAAGGCUUUGACGGGUAGCUGGUCUGAGAGGACGAUCAGCCACACUGGCACUGCGACACGGGCCAGACUCCUACGGGAGGCAGCAGUAAGGAAUAUUGCGCAAUGGGCGAAAGCCUGACGCAGCGACGCCGCGUGGGGGAUGAAGGUCUUCGGAUUGUAAACCCCUUUCGGGAGGGAAGAUGGAGCGAGCAAUCGUUCGGACGGUACCUCCAGAAGCAGCCACGGCCAACUUCGUGCCAGCAGCCGC
rnacentral:rRNA from 1 species